rnacentral:tRNA from 1 species
UGCGGGGUCGUCUAAUGGCAAGACGCCAGUUUCUGGAGCUGGUUAUCAAGGUUCGAGUCCUUGCCCCGCAG